AGAGGUGGAGAACCUAUUCAAUUUAGGAUUACAAUGCAAUACGGUCUUUCUCUAAUACAAUACUCUUGAUCACAUUGUUUGGAUUGAUAGUUUAUUCAUGUCUACUAUCCAAUGUGAUUCGUGUGCUUAUAUGAUUACCUUGAAUGUGAUUUGGAACGACUUCCUAAAUAUCAUUCAUACUCUGGCCAGAGAUUCUUAAUCAUAUCAUAGAGUAUUCUCCCUCAAACGGUUUGAAGGUUAGAGAUCCCUUGUUGCGCAUUCACUUGCCUCCAUGGCUAAGUGGCUUAACCCCAACUAUGCCGUGGACACCCUCUGACGGGGUGACUUUGACAUAGUCAAAGAUCAAGGACCUAACCACAAGACAACUAUGAUGCCUCAGGUCAAAUGACUACUUUGCAUUAUCCCAACCAUGAGUUCUCAUGUGACAUGAAUAUGAGAACUCUUCGUUGAUCGUGUUCAGUGAACUUAUUCUCUAUUGAGCACCUACGUACUUGUCUUGAUGUCACACACACCAAUGACUCGAGACUAGUCACUCUCCAUGAGAGAAGACACAGCACGUACUGAUCUUAACGGACUGUCAAUGCCCAAUUGGCAAUCCUAUGAUCAGGAACGUUUAGGAUGUGUCUACGAAAGAAUGGUCUCAUGAAUCUAACUUCUUUAGAUCGCAUUCUCCCAAUCACAUAUUCCUUGGACUUAUCGUUUAAGCGUAUAACAUUUAUAUGAAACGGCUCAAACAAUAAUCUUUGCCCUUGAUAUUAAACUAGAUUAGUUUAACAUCUGAAAUGUCCAUAAAGUAUCAUCAUAUGAUUGGUUUUAGGGCACAUUUCCAACAAUCUCCCACUUGCACUAGAGCCAAUCAGCUUGGUCAUCAGUGAUGAUACCUCUUCUGUAGUCAUUUCAAAAAUGGCUGAGUAGUAGGCCUAGACAAUGGAUAUCUAUAUGUUAUCCAUAGAAGCAACCUUGAGAAUAACGACGUCACCAUUAUACAUGAUUCUCAAUCAUGUGGUUCAGUCUCUCAUUUGAGUUCGAAUCGUGAUGGGACCUUGAUUCCCUAGCUUGAGCUAUCGCCCCAUUAGUGUCAUAGUGUCAGUACACUAGAGACACUUUCUAGUUGGAACCGAAUAGAGAGUUCAUAAAUGAACUUUUCCAUCCAAACAACAUUGUUGUAAGCUUCUAUAUGGCAAUAUAUUUUGCAUUCUUAAUGGAACACACUAAAGUCAUUACUUUUAAUGUUUCCAUCCAAAUAUCUCUUUUAGUCAUAAUAAAGGGAUAUCUGAUUAUCUCUUCAUUCAUAAUGAAGAAACAUCCAAUGAUGGAUUAGAUUCAUAAUCUAAUACAUUUACGCUUCCUUAACGUUACUCUAAUUCUUCCUCAUUCUUUGAGGAAUCUAUCCUUUAGUAUUUCUUAAAUACUUAAGGACUCACUUGACAGUUGCCAUGGUUCUGAUCUUGGGCUUGCAUUGAUAUUGUCUUGUACCGAUCUAGGUACAAUUCAUAUCAAUGUUUUUCAUACAAUAUGAAAUUCAUAAAUCACCUUUCUGCGUAUGCAUAAAGGAUUCUAUUUACGCAUUAUUUCUUUGGGAGUCAAAAGGCACGUUCCCUUUGAGAAGGGCAACUUGCUAGUCUCACUAGAGUCGUCCUUCUAAUUGAAGUUUAUCAUCAUAUGAGAAACUUCCUAGCAUCUCUUGUCUAUUAUUAGGGCUUGAUAUAAUCCAAUUAUAUCCUAAAAUCUAUCAAUAUAGAUUUCCAUCCCAUGUAUAUAUAUUAUGUCUCCCAUAUACAUUCUAUCUUCAUAUAAUGUUUUAAAGUCAUAACUUUAACGAAGAAGUAUUCUUUUCAUUUCCAAAAUCAAUAUAUCAUAUAUUUGUAUAUAUAUAUAUAUAUAUUCAAAUUUAGGAACAUGAUUAACUCCCACUAAUCUUUUGUAAACCUAGUAAACAAAAGAUUCAUUUACAUCUUUAUGAGAAAUCAAACGUUUUGAUCUUUCUCUCAUAAGACGUUUACAGCUCCCACUAGCUUGCUAAGAUCCAUGAUGGUUGGAUCUCUACAACUUACAUGUCUUGUGAUUCAUAGUUUUAGACAUAUAUUAUCAAGACUAUCUUAAUAAUGGUUUCGGAAACCUAUAUUAUGUCCAAACAUUGAAUCACCAUUUAGUUGUAGCUAGCAAUCUUCGAAUUAAUUGAAACCAAGACUAUCUCAAAGAUGGUUUCUUCAAAGUCAACCAUUCUCUUUGAUUGUAGUCACCUUAAGCUACCAAUUAGCUUAUGAAGGUUUCAUUAUUUCGGGUCAAAUGGUACUUUACCAUUUCCUUGAGUAUAUAUCAUAUAUACACUCAAUGUAGUCAUAAGGAUUUUCAUUCUUAUUUGUUUCGAUUUAAGAGGUGUAACUCUAUGACAUAGUCAUAAAGUUCAAACCAUUCAACUGAAACAGUUUAUAAAUCCUUCUCGACUACCUUGGAGCUUGUGGUAUAGGAACUAGGUUGUUAUAUUUGUUGAUUAUUAUCUUGUCUCUCAAAGAACCCAUUCUUUGAGUUCUAUCUCUCAUUCAUUUGCACUUAGGCAAAUCAUAUUGUUAGAUUACAAUGAACUACCCAACAAAACAACAUUUGUUAGUUGGUUUAUAGAAGCGAUAUCCAAAAGUUAAUUUAAGGAUAUCCCACAAGAUUGUUAUCAAACAAAUAUUGCUUAUUAGCACACAACCCCAAAUCUUAACAUGCUUGAGAUUUGUCUUUCUUUCCAACUACAUCUUAUGGAGUCAUGAAAAUUUUGGAAGAUCUUCUAAUUGACAAUCAUAUUGUUUUUAGAAGUAUAUAUCCUAUAUAUGGGUAAUAGAUAACAUCUAAUGAACUGAAUCUUAUUCGAGUUCGUUCUUCUCCUAAUGGAGAAAUUCAUUAUCUUAUGAUGCUUCUUUCCUUGAUAUUUUUCAAGGAAACUGUUCUAAAGUGUUAUCUUUCCUUGGAUCAAAUCUAAGGAGGCAAAUACUUUAGACGUCUUACUCAUCAACUUACAUUUCUUGAAUUCUUUGAAACCUUUUGCAAAGUAUUCGGACUUGUGUUUAUUCAAAAUAAACUAUAGUCCAACCGAGAGUGAUCUUCGGUGAAUGUCAUACAACAUGAGUAGUAUUAUGUUGUGGACAAGUGCCACUAACCUCUAAGUGAAUUAACCUCAACAACUUUGUGAUUCUUUCUUCUUUCCAAAAGAAUAAAGAUUCGAACAUUUCGCCUCUAUACAAUUUUAAUAAGAAGGUGUUGGAUUCGGAUCUAACGAUCUAAAGCAUCCAUCUAUGACCAACUCGUAAUUUAUGUUUUAGAGGUAUCACAAUUUUAGUUGGGAUUAGUCACUACCUUGCAACCUUUUGGGUUUUAAGCAUCGUUAUAUUCUAAACAGUUAACACUACCAUAUCAUCUCUACUAUAGAGACAAUCAAUUAGAUUACUAUAAUCCAAUCAUUGACUAAUAAAGAACAAUGUUUUGUCAAACAAAACAUUCAUCCAUCUCUACUAUAGUGACGGAAUUAAGUUCCUUAAAAUUGGAAUGUAAAGACAAUCUUUGGUUUUUCCAAUUUCUUUGGUAGUUCAUAUGAGGAAGUAAGUACUAUCUGCUGUCGCAGAGAUCUUUAUUUUAUUCACGUUCCGAAUGUGAAGCACCUUUUUCUUCUCUCAUAUAUCUUCUACUUCUUACUAGUCACACUUUUACAACGAUUGUAAAACAUAGUUACUAAUACGGAAUCAAGCAUUCAAGUAGAAGAACCAACUGUUUUGAACUAUUCAAGAACAAUUUACAACACCUUCGAAAGGUGUGUUCUUGACACUUGCAAGACAAUUCUUGCAAAUACCCCUUCCAAUGUCCAUCCUUUCAUAAAGAAAGUUUGUUCCCUUGGAGUUAUUUCGCUUUCUUCAUUUGACUUCUCCUUUGACUACAAUAGUCAUGGUCCCUAAACUCCCACUAUCUCUCUUGAAACUUAUUUCAAUUGUGUUAUACACAUCAAACAAUUUGGAGAGCGUGUGGUUAUUGUUCACUAUAUAGUUUACAAUAAACUUAGUGAACCAUUUGGAUAGGGACACAAAGGUGAAGUCCUUGCCUAGUUUCCGUUUCUAGAAGUGGUUUAACACUUCAACACUCAAUGAUUCAAAAACAUCAUAAGUCCAUGUUGAUGGACUAUUUUUGUCAACCAACCAUUAUGUUCUAAACAUAAUUACAAACUUUCAAGAGUUGUUCAAGGCAACUCUCAUUUCUUCAUACAACAAUUUGUAAGUGAAGAAUCAUGGCACAUAAAGUGUCCAUGCCUUUGUGCUUUCUUCUAAAGUUCCUUGUUCAUGUAACAAAGAAACAAGCACUAAUGUUUGCAUUGACUAAGGGUUGUUCAAACCAACUCUUAUUUCUUCAUACAACGAUUUGUAGGUGAAGAAUUAUGACAUUAAAAGUGUUGUCCUCCUUAUGAUAGACUUAUCUAACAUUUUCUUCCAAUGGUACAUUAUCAAUAGGAAGAUUGUGAGGAUGAGACUACUUAGGUACAUAUACAAUCCAUUUAAGACAAUCUUUGGGAUUGUUGUACCAAGUCCGGAAACUAAAGCAUUCGGCUUUUCUUUGUCAAGUUUUGGAUAGCAUUUGCAAAUAUAUAGGUAAACAAAUACAUAACGAAUAUAAAUUGAUUGAUUUUAAGCCAUUUGAUUCGGGUCUUUAAAUCAAAUAGCACCACCCACUAUUUUUGGCAAAUUCCAUAUCCCUCUUUGGAAUUCGAGAGUUUUUGAUGAAACUCUUAGUAGGGUAUGGGAGACUCACCAUUACCAAGCCCACCUCAGAAGAAUAUCAUAUUGGCUAGCAACAAUAAUGAUGAGAGGAUAAUGCUUUAGCCAUUUACAACUUUUGUAAUUACCCAUCUAAUUUGGCCUCUAGAAAAUGAUGCCUCAGAAGAAUAUCAUGUUGGCACCAUUGCACUUAGUUAAGUCAUUCCCACCAUGCUAGUUCAAGUAGGGGUUCAAGAAUGGCCUCAGAAGAAUAUCAUAUUGACCAUACUCGUUGCCUACCUUCACUUCAUCAUAUGUUUAUAGGCUUCUCCUGAAUGUAAGCACAUACUUUGCAUACCCCAGAACUAGACGAAUACGGUGUAUGAGUCACAAACGAUUGAAGCCCACCAUGGUGGAAGGCCUACGAAGAGAUGUUCAAAGCAUCUCUCGCUGAUCAACUUAAUAAUGGUUUGGUUGAGGGUUUUAGGUCUCAUCACAUAUAAAUAUUCAUUUUAAUCUUUAUUAAAACAAUUUUGGUCCUAUUACAACUAUUGGUCCAUUUGAUUGAAUUUAGUUGUAUAUAAUACUCCCACUAUGCUUAUAAAACGGUUUUUAAAGCAAGAGUAUAUGAUACUACUAACAUAAACUUUGCAUUCAUUUGAUGGACUAUAUAGUUGCCUUAGGGCCUUAGGAUGACUAUGAACCUUUGUUUAGAUUCAACACGAGCCUAGUGUUGAAUCUCGGUCUAGGGAUGGUGAUUGAUUUUAGUUACGCGUUUAAUCACAUUAAGGCGUGUUGUCUUAGGGGCAUUGGACCCUCUACUCCAUUUUCAUGCAUAUCAAAUAAUACAAGAAAUGAGUACUUCAAAGUAAAGAUGAGCUUAUGCUGUUUACAACAUUUGAAUAAAACAAAUUACUUUAAAGUAAAGAAGAGCUUAUGCUCUUUUACAACAUUUGAUCAAAUCAAAUUACAACCAAAAUCUAAUCUACACAUUCCCAUGGUUCAAACAAAUUUGAAAUGGCCUUUCACAUAACUCAAUUAUCGUAGGCUUAGGUUCAUAAUCACCCUUUAAUUAAUUAACACUUUAACUAAUUAAAUUGAAUGCAACAUUUUCAUUUGGUUUUUGUAUCCAUAAAAUUGAUUUAAAUGGAGCUAAAUGAAAUGAAAAUCCAAUUCUCAUUUAAAGAGACAAAACCAUUUUGGGGUCACUUUGUAAAAACACAAAAGUCCACUACUUCAUGUAAUUAAUUACAACUAGAACCCAAAAAUUUCAACAAAUUCAAAAACUUCAUUAAAGGAACAAAACAAUUUGUCCUUUAAUGAUUUUGGGCCUUUAGGUAAAUACGUAAACUUUUGGGUCAAACUACAAAUUACACAAAAAUACCAAAACUUUAUGUAAUUGCAUAAAAGCCCCAAAAACACUCCACUUGUAGGGUGGCCGGUUUUGGAGAGAAGGGAGUGGCGUGUGUGUUGAUUUGUAGUUUUAGACAUAAAGCAUGCAAGUGGUGCAUGACAUAAAUGUCAUGCAAGUGGUGUGUGAAAGGGAAUUAAUCCUUACACACCCACCAAUAUUUCUUACACCUUUCUAAAUAAAUUUCUAACACAUUUAAACAUUUGAAAAAUAUAAAACAUAAACUUUAUGAAAUAAAUCAAAACUUUGAAUCAAAACACCAAACUUUUUGUUCUUGGCAAAAAUGUCAAGAACAAUGAAGAACACUCAUGAAAAACUCAAAAAAUUUCCAUGAACAUUUUUCACCCAAAAGCAUCCCAAAACCAUUCAAACUUAAGGGAAAUAACAUAUAACCAAACUAGGGUACAUAGGGGUUCCAAAAGUCACUUGAAAACACUUUUAACAAGUCAAACAAGAACCCAAAAAUCCACCCUUUGGAUUUGGCCGAAAAUUCCCAAAAACAUGGCACCAAAUUUUAGCUCCAAUAUUCAUGCUCAUAUGAACUACAUCUACAACAUUUGAGAUGGCAAAUUUUCCAACAAAAUUUACAUUCAAAGAAACAAGAAUAAAGCUUGUAACAUAUUACAACAUUUAAAUCAAAACUAUGAACUACAAAACCCAAAAGGAUUCACCAACUACUAGACCUAGGCUCUGAUACCACUUGAAGGAAAUUUUGUGAAAAACAUGUUCAUUUAAGCAACAUCUAUAGCAUGCAAAUAACAAUUAAAAGGUGGAAUCAUGCUUGUAUGCACUUAAAAACAAAACAUUAACCAUGAAAUUCAAAGCCUAGUAGAUUGGUGAACCUUGACUCAACUUAAAACAACAUUUGUUAGUUGAGAAAUUAUACCUUUGUAGAUUCCUCUUUGCAUAAGCAAAGGCUAAUCACCCAAAGAGAGGGCCUUCAUUCCUUGCAUCUUAGAUCUAUGGAUUUGGAUGGAUGAAAUGGUUCUCCAAGUUCCCAAAAUUGAGAACCUCUAAGUCUCUUCACCAAGGUUAGAUUGGAGAAGAAAUGAGUGACCUUGGAGUAGUAGGAUUGCUAGCUAAAUCCUCCAAGGAGGCCGGCCACUUUAGAGAGAAAUGAGAGCUUAUGUUCUCAUCCUUUCCCCAAAAGAAAACCCUAAAUGAAUUUUGGCUAUAAAGUCAUAUUUAUACCUUUAUUCAUUGGAGUGGCAAACUUGUAAUUAAGUCCAAAACCCACUCCUUUAACAAAGUGGCCGGCCAUAGGGUUUCAUUGGGCUUUUAAGGCCUUUGUGAAUUAUUUGUAAUUAAGUUGUCAUACAACUUAAGUCAAUGGGCUUGACGUUCGAAGCCCAUUGGGCCUUGAGGCCAAAAACUAACCCGUGGUCUUUUAACGAACUUCAUUCGUUUGAUUAAUUAACAUAUUAAUUAAUCAUUGCCAUAAAUAAUUAAACCAUUUAAUUAUUCUUACUCAUCUCCAUUGUUUCUUCAAUCUAUGCCUUACACGGUGUACGAUCCAUUAGGUUCCUUUUAGCGAGGCAGUGGGCGAUUAAAACUUUUUCAAAUCGAUUGUGAAUUGAAACUUACUUUCAAUUCUCCCUUUAGUGAUUAUACACGUUUAGGGCUUCCACAAACCAUGAGUGACACCUAGCAGUAUGUCAUGGUUACCCAAGCUAAUCAGAAGAGGUGGAGAACCUAUUCAAUUUAGGAUCACAAUGCAAUACGGUCUUUCUCUAAUACAAUACUCUUGAUCACAUUGUUUGGAUUGAUAGUUUAUUCAUGUCUAUUAUCCAAUGUGAUUCGUGUGCUUAUAUGAUUACCUUGAAUGUGAUUUGGAACGACUUCCUAAAUAUCAUUCAUACUCUGGCCAGAGAUUCUUAAUCAUAUCAUAGAGUAUUCUCCUUCAAACGGUUUGAAGGUUAGAGAUCCCUUGUUGCGCAUUUACUUGCCUCUAUGGCUAAGUGGCUUAACCCCAACUAUGCCAUGGACACCCUCUGACGGGGUGACUUUGAAAUAGUCAAAGAUCAAGGACCUAACCACAAGACAACUAUGAUGCCUCAGGUCAAAAGACUACUUUGCAUUAUCCCAACCAUGAGUUCUCAUGUGACAUGAAUAUGAGACUCUUCGUUGAUCGUGUUCAGUGAACUUAUUCUCUACUAAGCACCUACGUACUUGUCUUGAUGUCACACACACCAAUGACUCGAGACUAGUCACUCUCCAUGAGAGAAGACACAACACGUACUGAUCUUAACGGACUGUCAAUGCCCAAUUGGCAAUCCUAUGAUCAGG
rnacentral:lncRNA from 1 species